UUUUACAUAAUUUAACUAAAAUAUUACACUUUCACUGUAAAAUUAGACUGUUGUCUUGUAAAUA
rnacentral:tRNA from 1 species